GCCAGGCGUGGUGGGGUGUGCCUGUAGUCCCAGCUUCUCAGGAGGCUGAGGUGGGAGGAUCGCUUGAGCCCAGGAGUUCUGGGCUGUAGUGCGCUAUGCCGAUCGGGUGUCCACACUAAGUUUGGCAUCAAUAUGGUGACCUCCCAGGAGCAGGAGACCACCACGUUGCCUAAGAAGGGGUGAACCGGCCCAGGUAGGAAACAGAGCAGGUCAAAACUCCUGUCCUGAUCAGUAGUGGGAUCACACCUGUGAAUAGCCACUGCACUCCAGCCUGGGCAACAUAGCGAGACCCCAUCUCU
rnacentral:SRP_RNA from 1 species